AUGGGAGUCCUCAAGGAUCGAAGCCUGCUAUGCUUGCUAUUUCUCAUGCUAAUCCUCUUGGCUCCUGGCUCUGAUGCCAAGACUUGCAGGAAGGCCAGUAAGAGCUAUACCAGAGAUUGCAGUGACGAUCCAUGUGUUUCGGCCUGCCAUAAGGAGGGAUUUAUUGAUGGGAAGUGUGAGAUGCUCUGGGCAAGACCCGUUAUUCUCAGAUGUUUCUGCAUAUCGAACUCUUGCUGA
rnacentral:rRNA from 1 species